CAGUAGCGUAUAUUAAAGUUGUUGCAGUUAAAAGCUCGUAGUUGGAUUUCUGGUACGCUGCGCCUGGCCCGCCUACGUUAGUAGUGUGAGUGCUGGUGCGCGGUUGCCAUCCUUCAGGAGAACGUGUCUACCCUUCACUGGGCCGGAUUCGGGAUCCUGAUCUUUUACUUUGAAAAAUUAGAGUGUUUAAAGCAGGCUUUUGCUAUGAAUACAUUAGCAUGGAAUAACGAAUGUGUCUGGAAUAUUGGUUAAUUCUAGAUUACGAUUAAUAGGGACAGUUGGGGGAUUAGUAUUUAAUUGUCAGAGGUGAAAUUCUUGGAUUUAUUAAAGACGGACUACUGCGAAAGCAUUUGCCAAGGAUGUUUUCAUUGAUCAAGAACGAAAGUUAGGGGAUCGAAGAUGAUCAGAUACCGU
rnacentral:rRNA from 1 species